AUGGCUCUCCCACCCCCUUCUGACAGCCCCUUCCCCGCGGAAGCCCGAGGACGAGGAGGGCGAAGGAGACUGGUUUGUAACGUGAACGAAAAUGAUUCCCUGCUAGCGUGCUUUGAGCGGAACCCGUACCCGAACAGGCCAGAGAGACCUGCCUUUUGGAGUCCAGGAUUCAGAUUUCGUGUCAGAAUCGAAGGUCCAGGCAUCCAGGCCAGGGUGGCAGGGAACCCGCGCACGCAGGCGGCCUGUGCAACGCGGCCGACCGCGGGUGCCACCCUCCCUCCUUGGGCGCCUUCACCCACGCCAGGGCGCGGGGAACAGGGGGCUUUCGUGAGCCAGACAGCAAGGGUGGCCCCUCUGCUGCAGCCCAGCCAGGCUUCGCAGGCAGAAAGAAUCUCCCGACCUGCCGCGGCACUUGGGGAUUUUGCGUUUGCUGCCCUGGCUCUUUCGGAAGUGGCGCUGUCCCACCCUCAGAACCUGGGUGACCUCCGCACCCGAACAGACCAGGGGACCAGGACCCGCAGUACGGUGGCUUUCUUGGGUGCUGUGCUCAAUGGGACAGUUUGGGCCGCUCAGGCUGAGUCAAACAGAUGGCAGGGGGACCAGGACUCGCAGCACGGCGGCCUUCUGGGUGCGUGCUCAGUGGGACAACUUGAGCCGCUCAGACUGAGUCACAGGGGCAAGUUGUGCUUGCGCCACACACGUCCCACAUGAGUCCGUAUUGGGGCUGGGGCCAGGGUCCCCAGGUCGCCAGGGCGCAUGGGAACGUGAAGCCGAGGCACAUCUACCUCCGCAGCUCGCGCCCAUGGAGGCCUCUGCGUGUCAGAAGCUGAUGUAAGCCAUCCAGACACCCUCCCAACCGCUCCAGGAGUUGGAGCUUUCAUCUGCACUCGCAUCCACCCUGUUAUAUGAGCUCCUGUCGACCCCAGAAUUUCAGCAAAAGGCACAACCUUUCCAAGCAACGGAGCCACUGGGGUAGUUGAAGGACGUGGAAGAGCCGGCUUUUUUGGAACCACUCCUCAGCCAGGAAGAACACCAGGCUCUGCAGGAGGAGCUUUAG
rnacentral:lncRNA from 1 species